UACGUAGGGUGCGAGCGUUAAUCGGAAUUACUGGGCGUAAAGCGUGCGCAGGCGGUGAUGUAAGACAGGUGUGAAAUCCCCGGGCUUAACCUGGGAACUGCAUUGUGACUGCAUCGCUGGAGUGCGGCAGAGGGGGAUGGAAUUCCGCGUGUAGCAGUGAAAUGCGUAGAUAUGCGGAGGAACACCGAUGGCGAAGGCAAUCCCCUGGGCCUGCACUGACGCUCAUGCACGAAAGCGUGGGGAGCAAACAGG
rnacentral:rRNA from 1 species